CCGCGCCGCGCGCUGCACCGGGGGGCGGGGCGGGGGCAAAGUCCCGCCGCUCCCUGCUCCGGCGCCAGCUGCGGCGAUUCUCUGAGCCGCCUACGCCCUCUACGCAGCGCAGUCCCCGCCCCCUUGUGGCGGCCGUACGAGCAAGGGAGAAGGUUGUGGCGGGAAUGUCAAGAGCCUCCAGAGUGUUCAGCUGUAAACCAAGUAACCUAAAUGUGCGGGCAUUCAGUGCUUUACGUGCAUAGCUCCUACCCUCUAACUAGGUAAGUUAGAUUCUCUAUUACUGGACAAGAAUCCCUUCACCUACUACAAAAAGGGACAACAUAAUACUUUGCAUAGUCUGAAUCUUCUGUUUUAAGCUUUAUUUCAAUUGUUGCUAUGUCAAAGUAGCUUUUAUAACACUUGCUCUGGAUAUAUCCCUUACCUGAAAUUUGUUUCUCAUCAUCCUUUACAAUCCAAUAUUCUUUUCAUACAGGCAGAUUUAUUGGUCUUCCUGCCUAGACUUAGCACAGCGUUUUAAAUGUAUUAAAAUUACCUGGAUACAAAGUAUCUCUAAAUUUCAAGUUUCUUGAGACUGACCAUUUUUUUCUAGGCAUUUCUUUAAAAACUUUAUCUAUCACAGAGGCUUCAGUAACUGAAAUCAGCAGGGUUGCCACUGUGUAGUACAGGCAGAAUCUUCACCUAUUUUAUUUUGAUUACGAGCAAAAUA
rnacentral:lncRNA from 1 species